GGGCCUAAAGGUAGCGGCGAGUGAAGCGGCAAGAGCUCAGAUUUGAAAUCGUGCUUUGCGGCACGAGUUGUAGAUUGCAGGUUGGAGUCUGUGUGGAAGGCGGUGUCCAAGUCCCUUGGAACAGGGCGCCCAGGAGGGUGAGAGCCCCGUGGGAUGCCGGCGGAAGCAGUGAGGCCCUUCUGACGAGUCGAGUUGUUUGGGAAUA
rnacentral:rRNA from 1 species